CCUACGGGAGGCAGCAGUGAGGAAUAUUGGUCAAUGGACGAGAGUCUGAACCAGCCAAGUAGCGUGAAGGAUGACUGCCCUAUGGGUUGUAAACUUCUUUUAUAUGGGAAUAAAACGUUCCACGUGUGGGAUUUUGUAUGUACCAUAUGAAUAAGGAUCGGCUAACUCCGUGCCAGCAGCCGCGGUAAUACGGAGGAUCCGAGCGUUAUCCGGAUUUAUUGGGUUUAAAGGGAGCGUAGGUGGAUUGUUAAGUCAGUUGUGAAAGUUUGCGGCUCAACCGUAAAAUUGCAGUUGAAACUGGCAGUCUUGAGUACAGUAGAGGUGUGCGGAAUGCGUGGUGUAGCGGUGAAAUGCUUAGAUAUCACGAAGAACUCCGAUUGCGAAGGCAGUUCACUGGACUGCAACUGACACUGAGGCUCGAAAGUGUGGGUAUCAAACAGGAUUAGAUACCCCAGUAGUC
rnacentral:rRNA from 1 species